GAUGAACGCUAGCUACAGGCUUAACACAUGCAAGUCGAGGGACCGGCGCACGGGUGAGUAACACGUAUCCAACCUGCCCUUUACUCGGGGAUAGCCUUUCGAACGAAAGAUUAAUACCCGCUAUAAAGGAUGGGGAUGCGUUCCAUUAGGUUGUGGGUGAGGUAACGGCCAACCAAGCCUUCGAUGGAUAGGGGUUCUGAGAGGAAGGUCCCCCACAUUGGAACUGAGACACGGGCCAAACUCCUACGGGAGGCAACAGUGAGGAAUAGUGGGAAAUGGGAGCUAGCCUGAACCAGCCAAGUAGCGUGAAGGAUGAAGGAUUAUGGGUCGUAAACUUCUUUUAUAUAAGAAUAUGUAUUAUAUGAAUAAGGAUCGGCUAACUCCGUGCCAGCAGCCGCGGUAAUUC
rnacentral:rRNA from 1 species